UUCAUCCAGGAAUGCGCUCUCAAACUCUUUAUACGCCGAGCUCUUCUCCUUCGUGUUGUUCGCUGUUUUAAAGUACACUAAGUUUGAGUGAGAGAAAAAGGUAAAACUUUAUAAUUACUUUAAAUAACGGCGUCGACUUGAGUGGAAAAUGUGGCUAUAUAAACACAUGCUUGUUAUUGAUAUUAAUGAAAGAUAUUACCACUAUGACAGCUGACAAAAGUGCACUUAACAAAACCACAAUGAGAAGAGACCGCGGGUUGAGUUGUAACCCAGUCGGUUUAACCAAUUAGAAAAGAGCUGCAGGGGUGAAAUUACUUCAAACGUGAGAGCACCACCCUCCUGAGGUGACCGUAAAAGUUAUAAAAGGAUUUGCAGGACUGUAAGAAAAGAGGCCCGCGAUGACUGCUGGGGGAUGACAUGACACCGCUAAUGAGGAAAGGCCCAUCACAAGACCACACGCAUAAAGAUGAGAUCAGAGAGUAAACAGAGACCAAAUGUGCUCUAAUAAAACGACAGAUCUUCUAGCCGGCUCAUUUCCAUAAAGCGGUUCCUGCACAAAUCAGUGGUGCAGGAGCUAAUCUCCCUGAAGAUGAAGUCUUGGACAGGUCCAGGUGUAACGCCAGCAAAACCAGCAAGUGUUGCCAAGACAUUUCUCCCUCGCUUCUAAACUUCAGCACAGGAGGACAAAGUGCCUUUCACAGAGAGAGAGAGAGAGACGGGAGAAAAGAGAGGGUGCCAAACAACACUAGCCACAGCCAAAGGGCCGUAUCAAGCCGGAGGAAUGACUGAUGGAAAGAUAAGGGACAAACCAAAGAGAGCAGACCAAACAGGAAAAGCAGGCGAGCAGCAAAUGGACGGGGUGUAGCCGGAGCGCAUGGUGGACGCUCACGUUGCAUGGAUCUGCUUUUGUUUAGUGCACACAAGAAAAGCACUUUUUUUGUCUAAUAAAAAAAACAUUCCG